rnacentral:lncRNA from 9 species
CGCAUUGGGAGAGCAGCGGUGCCAGGCGCUGGGCCUUGUCUCUCAAGAGGGCUCAGGAACCUCCCUUUGUCUUUCCCAGGGAGGCUCGGCUCUUCUUUCGACGCACCUGGCGAGAUGAUGGGAGCUCGAGCCAGGCCGGGCAUCUGCAGGCCGCUCUCUUGACGGAUCCACCAAAGCUCUGCCUGAGCUUCCUUCCGGCCCCCUGGGGAGAAGGGCUGAUUGGGUCGGUUUUGUGUGGUUGGGAAACUCUGUGCCUUGGGAAGCACAAGUGGGGAUCCAGAGCAGGCACACUCCAGGUGGGGUCACGAGAGUUUGGAAACAAAGGGAGAAAGCGAGACCUGGCCAGAUGAACCAAGCCAGAAGGAAAGAAUCGAGGCAAGACCUCAUGGCAAGGAGGAUGGAAUCCCAGGGGGAUCAUGAAGGGGGAAAACGACUCGUUCCAUCCUUCCACACCUGUCUUCCUAACUCCAUAUGGGCAAGGCUCUAUCCACCCGGUAGCAGGCUGGCACACCCUGAUGGAUUGGGAGCUCAGGAUUUCCACGGCGAGGCAUGGCCUAGGUGGGCAUCGGCCCGAAGAACGCCUUUGAGAGAGGGAGCUAGAGCCCAGGUGGAAGGGCCCUUCUUGGCGGGGGAUGGAGCCCCCACCCUCGUCUGGGCCCCAGCCCAAGCAGCCCCGGGGACUGCUGAGCCCGAGAGAGAAGGCAAGCCUGAGAGGGGCUGUUCGAGCCUAUGUCCACACGAGGGCGCCAGGGCCCCUCCCGGCCCCAGGUGCAGCUCCGAGGCUCUAGAGGUGGGAGUGGCAAGGCUCCAAAGGCGCAGGCUCCAGGUCGGGGGCGGGGCGGGGGCGGAUGGAGGCUUGAGCGGGACGCACCCACAGCAGGCACUCCGAGGAUGUGCAGGUGUUUCCUGGGCACCAGGGACUGUCUCCUCCGAGACCCCUCCUGUCAGGCGGAGGGCGGAGGGCGGAGGGCGGAGGUGUGCCUUCCGGAUUUGGAGGUGGGUUCGCCGCCUGGUUGGGUGGCAGUGGGUUUGGAAGGCUUGAAACAGGUUCUGGGCUUUGGCGUGCUUGGGGUUCCUUCGAGGU